rfam:Schistosoma rodhaini strain Burundi genome assembly, scaffold: SROB_scaffold0005967
AUCUAGCUGACGAGUCCCGCAUAGGACGAAACGAGCAUUCUAGAU